rnacentral:rRNA from 1 species
AUACGAUGAAGAGUUUGAUCCUGGCUCAGGAUGAACGCUAGCGGCAGGCCUAACACAUGCAAGUCGAGGGGUAGGAAGAGCUUGCUUUUCUGAGACCGGCGCACGGGUGAGUAACGCGUAUGCAAUCUACCUUAUACAGGGGAAUAGCCCAGAGAAAUU